rnacentral:lncRNA from 1 species
UAGAACCGAUAGAACGACUAGGUGUUUAUACCGGAAGUUCUAGUGGAAGAGUAUAGAUGGGUUUGAGAUAAGUGGGGGAGAAAGUUGUGUCUCUCCGAGACGGUUCGAAUGUGAAGAAGUUAGGAUGGAUGGAGAUGCUCUUGAAGUAGAUUGUUCAAGAUUGAUUAGUGUUGUUCGAAGUGGAAGGAACUUGGAUAGCAAGUUGUGAGGAUU